UACGUAGGGUGCGAGCGUUAUUCGGAAUUACUGGGCGUAAAGCGUGCGCAGGCGGUUUGCUAAGACCGAUGUGAAAUCCCCGGGCUUAACCUGGGAACUGCAUUGGUGACUGGCAGGCUAGAGUAUGGCAGAGGGGGGUAGAAUUCCACGUGUAGCAGUGAAAUGCGUAGAGAUGUGGAGGAACACCGAUGGCGAAGGCAGCCCCCUGGGCUAACACUGACGCUCAUGCACGAAAGCGUGGGGAGCAAACAGG
rnacentral:rRNA from 1 species